rnacentral:rRNA from 1 species
CCCAGCACCGAAGCCUGUGGCCAUUUGGUUACUAGGCAAUGUGGUGUUCAGGUCGUUCCGCGGAGGUUCUGCUCCAUCCUAAGUCCAUCAAUGAGUACGGUAUUAUGGACAUGGCCCAUAGAGGGUGAAAGGCCCGUGGGGGUGGAGAUUCGGUAGGCCAGAACUUCCCUGGGUAGACCUUGGAGUCGGGUUGUUUGUGAAUGCAGCCCAAAGUGGGUGGUAAACUCCAUCCAAGGCUAAAUACUUGCACGAGUCCGAUAGCGAACAAGUACCGUGAGGGAAAGUUGAAAAGUACUUUGAAGAGAGAGUAAACAGUGCGUGAAACCGCUCAGAGGUAAACGGGUGGAGUUGAACUGCAAGCUCUGGGAAUUCAACUGGUGAGUGUGGUUUGAGCUUGGUCAUAUUGGUGGACGUCGGGGUCUGCGUAGAAGCAGGUCUUCGCCUUCGGGUGGGGAUGCGCGAUGCACUUAUCAAGUGUUGUGCGCCUCGGUUGUUCCCGGCCAACUCGCUAGUGCACUUUCUCAGAGUGGUCACCACGACCGACGCCGCUGUCUGGCCGCUGUGGUUAAACCGAGUUUGCAUAGUCCGAGUGGCUUUGCUUGGUCGGGAUGGCAGGUAGCUCGUUGACUUGCUUGUGGUUCGCCGCGAGCGUGGUUUUCGAGUAUAAUCCGCUGACCGUAGUGGUUCUGUGCAGUGUGUCGGGGACGGCGGCUCGAGGUGUGUGCAUGCGUUGCUGUUUUGCUGACUGGUCCGAGUUUGGUUAUUUUGUAGCCUGUUCAAUCAGGUCUGGUAGUAGCUCGGAUUUGUUCGGCUGGCGGUGGCGUGUGUGGCAUUGUUCCAAGGGCCAACAGUCUGUGGUGUAGUGGU